UUUCCGUAGGUGAACCUGCGGAAGGAUCAUUAACAAAUCUAUAAAGUGUGGCGGUCCUUGUGUCCGCUUGCACACAUUAGCCCUAUAGCGUUCGACCAGGUUUACUUGGAACGAUCGCUAUGGUGUUGUGGUGGGGAUCGAGGUUGGAGACGACUUUGAUCUGUGCCAUAUAUUAACGCUUGUUUGUUUGACAGAGUUAGUUGUGACAAUAAUAAAUGACAACUUUUAACAAUGGAUCUCUUGGCUCUU
rnacentral:misc_RNA from 1 species